AUUGAACGCUGGCGGCAUGCUUUACACAUGCAAGUCGAACGGUAACAGGUUAAGCUGACGAGUGGCGAACGGGUGAGUAAUGCAUCGGAACGUGCCCGGUCGUGGGGGAUAACGCAGCGAAAGCUGCGCUAAUACCGCAUACGAUCUGAGGAUGAAAGCGGGGGACCGUAAGGCCUCGCGCGAUCGGAGCGGCCGAUGUCAGAUUAGGUAGUUGGUGGGGUAAAGGCUCACUAAGCCAACGAUCUGUAGCUGGUCUGAGAGGACGACCAGCCACACUGGGACUGAGACACGGCCCAGACUCCUACGGGAGGCAGCAGUGGGGAAUUUUGGACAAUGGGCGCAAGCCUGAUCCAGCAAUGCCGCGUGCAGAAUGGAGGCCUUCGGGUUGUAAACUGCUUUUGUACGGAACGAAACGGUGAGCUCUAAUACAGUUUGCUAAUGACGGUACCGUAAGAAUAAGCACCGGCUAACUACGUGCCAGCCGCCGCCGUAA
rnacentral:rRNA from 1 species